AAAAAGACAAAUCUUGGGUUUUCGUGUCCAACGUUUAACGUCCGUCUUAUAUAAAUUUUUAUUAUAAUUAAUAUUUUUAUUAUUGUUAGAUGAUAAAACAUGAUUAAUACUUUAUGCGUGACUUAUCUUUUUAUUUUUUUCAUAAUUUUUUUAAAUAAGACGGACGGUUAAACGUUGGACACGAAAACCCAACGUUUGUCUUUUU
rfam:Oryza glumipatula chromosome 11, whole genome shotgun sequence.